AAAGCAUUGCUUUCUCCUAUGAAGUGGUAUGUCCAGAGACCUGGGUAAAGUUUCAUAUUAAAGAUGACCCUGGAGGAAGCGAGAAAUCACUGUAAAAAGAAGAGUACAGCACUUUAAAUAUGUUUGGAUCAAGAGCGCCACCUAGUGGUGGCUUUGAUCAUCUUUGGUUAUAUUUUCAUAGUUUACCAAGAUUAAUUCGUUUCUCAGGAAAUUUUUCAGAUGUUCUUACAGUUCAAGAGCCGGUUCUUCCUUAAAGAGAUGUUACCUCAUUACCGGGGCCCUCAGAAUUUGUGGCUAGGAAUUUUAUACGACACUGACAGUGCCAUCAAAGUGAUAGAAGUGGAGCAAUUUAAAGAUCUGCACCAAGGUGUGAUCUCAGCAGCUGCGUUGGUGGCCAUUGUGCUGUUUGCUGUGGUGAUUGGAUCAUUAUGGCUCCUUUACAAGAGAAACUCCCUGUGCAUCCUAAGGCUUCUAAAGUUUUUACAGACAGACAAGUUCCCAAGGAAAUUACCAAAAUGAAAAUGUUUUACUCCCAGACCUAGAGACACAAGCAGGGGACUAGCAUGUAUUUGUGUGAGCGUAUAGGUGCAUUGUUUCCCUUUGUGUUUUGUGUGAGAGUGUGUUCAUUCAGUCAGGGAAACUGCAGUAGGAAUGAUGAGGAUAGUUGAGUUGUCUGUCCAUACUGUAGCUAAAGGAGGAUACUGUGCACAAACAGGUCAGAUAAAGCCUCAAGACAGACCAUUUAAACGCAUUAUGAAAGGGAUAUCCUCUAUGAAGUGAAAAAAUGGGUCUUUUUCUCUUUGUCUCAUAUUCAGGACAACAACAGAAUUCCUCCUGGGUGUAAAAGUUCAAAUGGGCCAAAUGGCUUGUUUGUUGAGUGUGGUUUAUUAUUGUUAAGGUGUUAAGGCCUGUUUACAUUAACACAAAUGUUUGGCAUGAAAAUGCGUAAACAAAAAAAACAUUUGGACAGUUUGAAUUUCACUGCAAUUUCACUCUCUGAUAGUAUAUUGUGCUUAUAGGAACGCAUAAAUACUGCAAUGCGCUACGCAACUUUGUGCUUCUGACACCCACUUGUCAUGAAGGAGAAAAGAGGCUUCUUUCCAGAUUGUUCCUCUGUUGUUUAUUGCCUAUUAUCAAAAUAUGCCACCAAGUCAUAGUUUUAUGUAACAGCAGCGUGUUUGGGCACAUAAUCAAAAGUGUGACUCUAAUUGGGUGCCUAGUUUUCUUUCAGUGCAAUGGCAAAGAGAUUAGAACUCCUCUCCUCCAUCAGUUGUUUAUCGCAUAAAUUUUUGUAUCAAAUAUUCGUCUGUAAGUUGUAUACAUAAAGAAAUAAAUAGUGUUUUGAAAAGAAUGUAUAACA
ensembl:lncRNA